rnacentral:rRNA from 1 species
UACAGAGGUCUCAAGCGUUGUUCGGAUUCAUUGGGCGUAAAGGGUGCGUAGGUGGCAUGGUAAGUCGGAUGUGAAAUCCCGGGGCUCAACCCCGGAACUGCAUUCGAUACUGCCAGGCUAGAGUACUGGAGAGGAGAUUGGAAUUUACGGUGUAGCAGUGAAAUGCGUAGAUAUCGUAAGGAAGACCAGUGGCGAAGGCGGAUCUCUGGACAGUUACUGACACUGAGGCACGAAGGCCAGGGGAGCAAACGGG